ACUUUAAUUGAAGAGUUUGAUCAUGGCUCAGAUUGAACGCUGGCGGCAGGCCUAACACAUGCAAGUCGAGCGGUAACAGAAAGAAAGCUUGCUUUCUUUGCUGACGAGCGGCGGACGGGUGAGUAAUGCCUGGGAAUAUACCCUGAUGUGGGGGAUAACUAUUGGAAACGAUAGCUAAUACCGCAUAAUCUCUUGGGAGCAAAGAGGGGGACCUUCGGGCCUCUCGCGUCAGGAUUAGCCCAGGUGGGAUUAGCUAGUUGGUGGGGUAAUGGCUCACCAAGGCGACGAUCCCUAGCUGGUCUGAGAGGAUGAUCAGCCACAC
rnacentral:rRNA from 1 species